GAUGAACGCUGGCGGCGUGCUUAACACAUGCAAGUCGAACGGUGAACGAGGGAGCUUGCUCCCUCCGGAUCAGUGGCGAACGGGUGAGUAACACGUGAGCAAUCUGCCCUGGACUCUGGGAUAAGCGUUGGAAACGACGUCUAAUACCGGAUACGAGGCGUGGGGGCAUCCCCAACGCCUGGAAAGAACUUCGGUCCAGGAUGAGCUCGCGGCCUAUCAGGUAGUUGGUGAGGUAAUGGCUCACCAAGCCUACGACGGGUAGCCGGCCUGAGAGGGUGACCGGCCACACUGGGACUGAGACACGGCCCAGACUCCUACGGGAGGCAGCAGUGGGGAAUAUUGCACAAUGGGCGAAAGCCUGAUGCAGCAACGCCGCGUGAGGGACGACGGCCUUCGGGUUGUAAACCUCUUUUAGCAGGGAAGAGGCGAAAGUGACGGUACCUGCAGAAAAAGCACCGGCUAACUACGUGCCAGCAGCCGCGGUAAUAC
rnacentral:rRNA from 1 species